rnacentral:rRNA from 1 species
GACGAACGCUGGCGGCGUGCUUAACACAUGCAAGUCGAACGAAGAGCGAUGGAAGCUUGCUUCUAUCAAUCUUAGUGGCGAACGGGUGAGUAACGCGUAAUCAACCUGCCCUUCAGAGGGGGACAACAGUUGGAAACGACUGCUAAUACCGCAUACGAUCUAAUCUCGGCAUCGAGGAUAGAUGAAAGGUGGCCUCUACAUGCAAGCUAUCACUGAAGGAGGGGAUUGCGUCUGAUUAGCUAGUUGGAGGGGUAACGGCCCACCAAGGCGAUGAUCAGUAGCCGGUCUGAGAGGAUGAACGGCCACAUUGGGACUGAGACACGGCCCAGACUCCUACGGGAGGCAGCAGUGGGGAAUCUUCCGCAAUGGACGAAAGUCUGACGGAGCAACGCCGCGUGAGCGAUGACGGCCUUCGGGUUGUAAAGCUCUGUUAAUCGGGACGAAAGGCCUCCUUGCGAAUAGUGAGAAGGAUUGACGGUACCGGAAUAGAAAGCCACGGCUAACUACGUG